UGGGGAAUAUUGCACAAUGGAGGGAACUCUGAUGCAGCGACGCCGCGUGAACGAAGAAGGCUUUCGAGUCGUAAAGUUCUUUUAUAUGGGAAGAUAAUGACGGUACCAUAAGAAAAAGCCCCGGCUAACUACGUGCCAGCAGCCGCGGUAAUACGUAGGGGGCUAGCGUUGUCCGGAAUCACUGGGCGUAAAGGGUUCGCAGGCGGAAAUGCAAGUCAGGUGUAAAAGGCAGUAGCUUAACUACUGUAAGCAUUUGAAACUGCAUAUCUUGAGAAGAGUAGAGGUAAGUGGAAUUUUUAGUGUAGCGGUGAAAUUCGUAGAUAUUAAAAAGAAUACCGGUGGCGAAGGCGACUUACUGGGCUCAUUCUGACGCUGAGGAACGAAAGCGUGGGUAGCAAACAGG
rnacentral:rRNA from 1 species